UACGGAGGGUGCAAGCGUUGUUCGGAUUUAUUGGGUUUAAAGGGUGCGUAGGCGGCUAUUUAAGUCAGUGGUGAAAUCCUGCAGCUCAACUGUAGAAUUGCCAUUGAUACUGGAUAGCUUGAGUACAGACGAGGUAGGCGGAAUUUAUGGUGUAGCGGUGAAAUGCAUAGAUACCAUAAAGAACCCCUAUUGCGAAGGCAGCUUACUAGGCUGUAACUGACGCUGAGGCACGAAAGCGUGGGGAUCAAACAGG
rnacentral:rRNA from 1 species